ACUCCUACGGGAGGCAGCAGUGGGGAAUAUUGCACAAUGGGCGCAAGCCUGAUGCAGCCAUGCCGCGUGUAUGAAGAAGGCCUUCGGGUUGUAAAGUACUUUCAGCAGUGAGGAAGGUGGGUAUGUUAAUAGCAUAUUCAUUUGACGUUAGCUGCAGAAGAAGCACCGGCUAACUCCGUGCCAGCAGCCGCGGUAAUACGGAGGGUGCGAGCGUUAAUCGGAAUUACUGGGCGUAAAGCGCAUGCAGGUGGUUGUUAAGUCAGAUGUGAAAGCCCGGGGCUCAACCUCGGAAUUGCAUUUGAAACUGGCAAACUAGAGUACUGUAGAGGGGGUAGAAUUUCAGGUGUAGCGGUGAAAUGCGUAGAGAUCUGAAGGAUACCGGUGCGAAGCGGCCCCUGGACAGAUACUGACACUCAGAUGCGAAAGCGUGGGAGCGAAACAGGAUUAGAUACCCCUGGUAGGUCAGUC
rnacentral:rRNA from 1 species